GAGAAAGGUGCCGCUGCGCCUUUUCAAGCCUUGGACCUUUACGCCCGCACUUUCCUCUGCCCAGAAAGCUUACUGCUUAAUGCCAGUACAACUUACUGGUGUGCCUGGAUCCACCCCUGUCUCCACUCUGCUUAAGACAGAGGAGGAUGAUAGGCUGGAAGAAUGAAUAGAUGACAUUAAAUAGUCAUUGUUAUCCCCACAUAACUUGGCAGCAAGAUUGUGGAACUCUGCAGUCUGACAGAUCGGGUUCCAAUACCAGUUCUUCCACUUACUAGAUGGGUAAACUUCCUUCAUCCUUCUGAGAGUUCAAGAAAUGUUUGCUGAACGAAUGAAUAAGAUGUUUUGCAGAGAUAUGUGACGAAUUAAAUGAGAUAAUGCUUGUAUCGUGCCUAGCCCAAAAUCAGCGCUCAAUGGAAUUACUAGUCUCCCUACUAUAUGCCACCUUCUCUAUGCAGGUUCUGAGUUCCUCGCAGCGGGGGGACAUCUGGCUUGGUUCCAUCUCCCCAAGGCGCUGGGUUCCCAGAAUUUUCUAGAAUGAAUACGGAGGGCUACAUAUUUCACAUGCGCGGGGCGGGGAAACUGCUGGACGAUUACAGGUUCCGGAUGGAGCUGGCCCCUUCGUGGCAACCACAAAUCCUAUCACGCUGCAAGAAUCUCGACUUGUUCACAGACAAAUGAAGGCCGACGAUACUUGCAGACCGAGUCUGACGUCUAUGGGACCCCACCCCUACCCUGCGCCUCCAGGGGCCGGGACAACCGCGACCCGUCCCCACUCCUCGCGCCUCCGGGAUCAACCUCAGAACUCUGUGGGCGCCCGCAGAAGACGCAUGCGCACUGCUCCCUCCUCGUCUCCUCCUUCCCUUCGUUAAUUAGUUCAUUGCAUUUCAAGUGCUGGAUCCUUUUUGUCCCUUAUUGCGUGCGGUGUCAGCUUCCUUGCGGAAGUGGUGGCCGUGAGAGAAGAAGAUGGCGGCCCCUGUAGUGGCGCCGCCUGGUGUGGUGGUUAGUCGGGCCAACAAGCGCAGCGGCGCGGGGCCGGGAGGCAGCGGUGGCGGGGGAGCCAGAGGGGCGGAGGAGGAACCGCCGCCGCCCCUACAAGCAGUUCUGGUGGCCGAUAGCUUCGAUCGCCGCUUCUUCCCCAUCUCCAAGGACCAGCCUCGGGUCCUCUUGCCCCUGGCCAAUGUGGCAUUAAUUGACUAUACUCUGGAAUUCCUGACUGCCACAGGUGUACAGGAAACAUUUGUCUUUUGUUGCUGGAAAGCUGCUCAAAUCAAAGAACAUUUACUGAAGUCCAAGUGGUGCCGCCCUACAUCUCUCAAUGUGGUUCGAAUAAUUACAUCAGAGCUCUAUCGAUCACUGGGAGAUGUCCUCCGUGAUGUUGAUGCCAAGGCCUUGGUGCGCUCUGACUUCCUUCUGGUGUAUGGGGAUGUCAUCUCAAACAUCAGUAUCACCAGAGCCCUUGAGGAACACAGGUUGAGACGGAAGCUAGAAAAAAAUGUUUCUGUGAUGACGAUGAUCUUCAAGGAGUCAUCCCCCAGCCACCCAACUCGUUGCCACGAAGAAAAUGUGGUAGUGGCUGUGGAUAAUGCCACAAACAGGGUUCUCCAUUUUCAGAAGACCCAGGGUCUCCGGCGUUUUUCGUUUCCUCUGAGCCUGUUUCAGGGCAGUAGUGAUGGAGUGGAGGUUCGAUAUGAUUUACUGGAUUGUCAUAUCAGCAUCUGUUCUCCUCAGGUGGCGCAACUCUUUACAGACAACUUUGACUACCAAACUCGAGAUGACUUUGUGCGAGGUCUCUUAGUGAAUGAGGAGAUUCUAGGGAACCAGAUCCACAUGCACGUAACAGCUAAGGAAUAUGGUGCCCGUGUCUCCAACCUACACAUGUACUCAGCUAUCUGUGCUGACGUCAUCCGCCGAUGGGUCUACCCUCUCACCCCAGAGGCGAACUUCACUGACAGCACCACCCAGAGCUGCACUCAUUCCCGGCACAAUAUCUACCGAGGGCCUGAGGUCAGCCUGGGCCAUGGCAGCAUCCUAGAGGAAAAUGUGCUCCUAGGCUCUGGCACUGUCAUUGGCAGCAAUUGCUUUAUCACCAACAGUGUCAUUGGCCCUGGCUGCCACAUUGUGACCCAGAGGCCUUCCCAUCCUGAGCCAGGUGAUAACGUGGUGCUGGACCAGACCUACCUGUGGCAGGGUGUUCGAGUGGCUGCUGGAGCACAGAUCCAUCAGUCUCUGCUUUGUGACAAUGCUGAGGUCAAGGAACGAGUGACACUGAAACCACGCUGUGUCCUCACUUCCCAGGUGGUCGUGGGCCCAAAUAUCAUGCUGCCUGAGGGCUCGGUAAUCUCUUUGCACCCUCCAGAUGCAGAGGAAGAUGAAGAUGAUGGGGAGUUCAGUGAUGAUUCUGGGACUGACCAAGAAAAGGAGAAAGUGAAGAUGAAAGGUUACAAUCCAGCAGAAGUAGGAGUUGCUGGCAAGGGCUACCUCUGGAAAGCUGCAGGCAUGAACAUGGAGGAAGAGGAGGAACUGCAGCAGAAUCUGUGGGGACUCAAGAUCAACAUGGAAGAAGAGAGUGAAAGUGAAAGUGAGCAAAGUAUGGAUUCUGAGGAGCCGGACAGCCGGGGAGGCUCCCCUCAGAUGGAUGACAUCAAAGUGUUCCAGAAUGAAGUUCUAGGAACACUACAGCGGGGCAAAGAAGAGAACAUUUCUUGUGAUAAUCUCGUCCUGGAAAUCAAUUCUCUCAAUCUCCCCACAGGUAUGCCUAUAACAUAAGUCUAAAGGAGGUGAUGCAGGUACUGAGCCACGUGGUCCUGGAGUUCCCCCUGCAACAGAUGGAUUCCCCGCUUGACUCAAGCCGCUACUGUGCCCUGCUGCUUCCUCUGCUCAAGGCCUGGAGCCCUGUUUUUAGGAACUACAUAAAGCGUGCAGCCGACCACUUGGAAGCGUUAGCAGCCAUUGAGGACUUCUUCCUAGAGCAUGAAGCUCUUGGUAUUUCCAUGGCCAAGGUACUGAUGGCUUUCUACCAGCUGGAGAUCCUGGCUGAGGAAACAAUUCUGAGCUGGUUCAGCCAAAGAGAUACAACUGACAAGGGCCGGCAGUUGCGCAAGAAUCAACAGCUGCAGAGGUUCAUCCAGUGGCUAAAAGAGGCAGAAGAGGAGUCAUCUGAAGAUGACUGAGGUCACACUGCCUGCCCCUGUGGGUGUGAUUGAGUACCCUCCUGGCUCCUGGGCUGGGACAAGUAAGGAACUAGCUGCAGAGGGAUGAAUGACCACCAUCCAGGCUGAGACUGAAAGGAGCAGAGGCUGGAACUACAGUAUUCUCUCCCCUGCUAGCAACCAUGUGCCUCCCAUCCUGACUGUGGAAUUGGGAUGUGGGAAGUGGGGCUGGAACAAAGCUUCUGCCUAGGGAGGAGCUAAGCAGGCCCUGCAGUUGGAGGAAGGCCAGAGGAACAGCUUUGUGCUCCGGCUUUCCCUCAGGGAACAGCAGAGAGCAGCUGGCUCUCUCUGCUGCUUGUAUAUGUUAAUAUUAAAAGAGAGAGCGGUGUA